AGUCGGACGGUAGCACAGAGAGCUUGCUCUUGGGUGACGAGUGGCGGACGGGUGAGUAAUGUCUGGGGAUCUGCCCGAUAGAGGGGGAUAACCACUGGAAACGGUGGCUAAUACCGCAUAACGUCGCAAGACCAAAGAGGGGGACCUUCGGGCCUCUCACUAUCGGAUGAACCCAGAUGGGAUUAGCUAGUAGGCGGGGUAAUGGCCCACCUAGGCGACGAUCCCUAGCUGGUCUGAGAGGAUGACCAGCCACACUGGAACUGAGACACGGUCCAGACUCCUACGGGAGGCAGCAGUGGGGAAUAUUGCACAAUGGGCGCAAGCCUGAUGCAGCCAUGCCGCGUGUAUGAAGAAGGCCUUCGGGUUGUAAAGUACUUUCAGCGGGGAGGAAGGCGAYGGGGUUAAUAACCCUGUCGAUUGACGUUACCCGCAGAAGAAGCACCGGCUAACUCCGUGCCAGCAGCCGCGGUAAUACGGAGGGUGCAAGCGUUAAUCGGAAUUACUGGGCGUAAAGCGCACGCAGGCGGUCUGUUAAGUCAGAUGUGAAAUCCCCGGGCUUAACCUGGGA
rnacentral:rRNA from 1 species